rnacentral:tRNA from 1 species
ACAAGAAUGGGGUAAUUGGUAACCUAUCAGGCUCAUGCCCUGAAUUAUUGCAAGUUCGAGUCUUGCUUCUUGUA